GACGAACGCUGGCGGCGUGCUUAACACAUGCAAGUCGAACGGAAAGGCCCUGCUCUUGUGGGGUUCUCGAGUGGCGAACGGGUGAGUGAAACGUGAGUAUCCUGCCCUUGACUUUGGGAUAACAUCAGGAAACUGGGGCUAAUACCGGAUAGGAGCUCCUGCUGCGUGGUGGUGGUUGGAGAGUUUCGGCGGUUGGGGAUGGACUCGCGGCUUAUCAGCUGGUUGGUGGGGUAGUGGCGUACCAAGGCUUUGACGGGUAGCCGGCCUGAGAGGGUGACCGGCCACAUGGGGACUGAGAUACGGCGCAGACUGCUACGGGAGGCAACAGGGGGGAAUCUGGCACAAUGGGCGGAAGCCUGAUGUAGCAACGCCGCGUGCGGGAUGACGGCUUUCGGGUUGUAAACAGCUUUCGCCUGUGACGAAGCGUGAGUGACGGUAAUGGGUAAAGAAGCACCGGCUAACUACGUG
rnacentral:rRNA from 1 species